AGCGAACGCUGGCGGCAGGCCUAACACAUGCAAGUCGAACGAACCUUUCGGGGUUAGUGGCGGACGGGUGAGUAACACGUGGGAACGUGCCUUUAGGUUCGGAAUAACUCAGGGAAACUUGUGCUAAUACCGAAUGUGCCCUCCGGGGGAAAGAUUAAUCGCCUUUAGAGCGGCCCGCGUCUGAUUAGCUAGUUGGUUGAGGUAAUGGCUCACCAAGGCGACGAUCAGUAGCUGGUCUGAGAGGAUGAUCAGCCACAUUGGGACUGAGACACGGCCCAAACUCCUACGGGAGGCAGCAGUGGGGAAUCUUGCGCAAUGGGCGAAAGCCUGACGCAGCCAUGCCGCGUGAAUGAUGAAGGUCUUAGGAUUGUAAAAUUCUUUCACCGGGGACGAUAAUGACGGUACCCGGAGAAGAAGCCCCGGCUAACUACGUG
rnacentral:rRNA from 1 species